GCCCAGGUGGAGAAAUUGGUAACCUCGAAGCACUUAAAAUGCUUUGCCCGCAAGGGCUUGCCGGUUCGAGUCCGGCCCUGGGCA
rnacentral:tRNA from 1 species